GACGAACGCUGGCGGCGUGCUUAACACAUGCAAGUCGAACGGAAAGGCCCUGCUUGCCGGGUACUCGAGUGGCGAACGGGUGAGUAACACGUGGGUGAUCUGCCCUGCACUUCGGGAUAAGCCUGGGAAACUGGGUCUAAUACCGGAUAGGAGCCAUUUUUAGUGUGAUGGUUGGAAAGUUUUUUCGGUGUAGGAUGAGCUCGCGGCCUAUCAGCUUGUUGGUGGGGUAAUGGCCUACCAAGGCGGCGACGGGUAGCCGGCCUGGGAGGGUGGACGGCCACAUUGGGACUGGGAUACGGCCCAGACUCCUACGGGGGGCAGCAGUGGGGGAUAUUGCACAAUGGGGGCAAGCCUGAUGCAGCGACGCCGCGGGGGGGAUGACGGGCUUCGGGUUGUAAACUCCUUUCGCUAGGGACGAAGCUUUUUGUGACGGUACCUAGAUAAGAAGCACCGGCUAACUACGUG
rnacentral:rRNA from 1 species